CAGAGGGGCAAGCGUUAUCGGAAUUAUUGGGCGUAAAGGGCGCGUAGGCGGCUUGGCAAGUGGAAGGUGAAAUCCCUCGGCUUAACCGAGGAACUGCCUUCCAGACUGCUUUGCUUGAGGCCGGGAGAGGUGAGUGGAAUUCCCAGUGUAGCGGUGAAAUGCGUAGAUAUUGGGAGGAACACCAGUGGCGAAGGCGGCUCACUGGACCGGUUCUGACGCUGAGGCGCGAAAGCGUGGGGAGCAAACGGGAUUAGAUACCCCGGUAGUCCACGCCGUAAACGAUGAGUGCUUGGUGUAGCGGGUAUCGACCCCUGCUGUGCCGAAGUCAACACAUUAAGCACUCCGCCUGGGGAGUACGGUCGCAAGGCUG
rnacentral:rRNA from 1 species